rnacentral:misc_RNA from 1 species
GAUGAAGAACGCAGCAAAAUGCGAUAAGUAAUGUGAAUUGCAGAAUUCAGUGAAUCAUCGAAUCUUUGAACGCACAUUGCGCCCGCUGGUAUUCCGGCGGGCAUGCCUGUUCGAGCGUCAUUUCAACCCUCAAGCCCCGGGUUUGGUGUUGGGGAUCGGCUCUGCCCUUCUGGGCGGUGCCGCCCCCGAAAUACAUUGGCGGUCUCGCUGCAGCCUCCAUUGCGUAGUAGCUAACACCUCGCAACUGGAACGCGGCGCGGCCAUGCCGUAAAACCCCAACUUCUGAAUGUUGACCUCGGAUCAGGUAGGAAUACCCGCUGAACUUAAGCAUAUCAAUAAGCGGAGGA